GCUGGCUAGAAACUCAAUCUAAAAAAAAAAAAAAAGAAAAGCAAAACUUCAAGCAAACUGAAACUUACAUAUUUUUGUAAUUUCAGGGGUUGGAAUUUCCUGAACAAAAUGCAGACAGGCAGAAAUCUUACAAAACUGUCCAUACCGUUAUCUCAUCAGUCAACAGGUGUUUCGCCUAUGGCACUUUCCAGUAAGGAUGGUGCUGUUGACUUCCUACUGUGCCAACUUACAUUUCCUCUUCUGUCCAGUGCGGGUUUGGGUUAACUAUUUCUGACAUUACCAUUGUCUAGGAGAAAUAAGAUCCAAUGGUAUGUAAAUAAACUAGGGAAAGCGUAAUUUCA
rnacentral:lncRNA from 1 species